CCUACGGGAGGCUGCAGUGAGGAAUAUUGGUCAAUGGACGCAAGUCUGAACCAGCCAUGCCGCGUGCAGGAAGACGGCUCUAUGAGUUGUAAACUGCUUUUGUACGAGGGUAAAUCCCGACACGUGUAUCGGGUUGAAAGUAUCGUACGAAUAAGGAUCGGCUAACUCCGUGCCAGCAGCCGCGGUAAUACGGAGGAUUCAAGCGUUAUCCGGAUUUAUUGGGUUUAAAGGGUGCGUAGGAGGUUCGAUAAGUUAGUUGUGAAAGCCUGGGGCUCAACUCCGGCACUGCCUCUGAUACUGUCGGGCUAGAGUUUAGUUGCGGUAGGCGGAAUGUGUGGUGUAGCGGUGAAAUGCAUAGAGAUCAUACAGAACACCGAUUGCGAAGGCAGCUUACCAAACUACGACUGACGUUGAGGCACGAAAGCGUGGGGAGCAAACAGGAUUAGAUACCCGUGUAGUC
rnacentral:rRNA from 1 species